rnacentral:rRNA from 1 species
GGACCCGCACAAGUAGUGGAGUAUGUGGUUUAAUUCGAUGAUACGCGAGGAACCUUACCAGGGCUUAAAUGUAGUCUGACAGAUUUGGAAACAGAUUUUUCUUCGGACAGAUUACAAGGUGCUGCAUGGUUGUCGUCAGCUCGUGCCGUGAGGUGUCAGGUUAAGUCCUAUAACGAGCGCAACCCCUGUUGUUAGUUGCCAGCGAGUAAUGUCGGGAACUCUAGCAAGACUGCCGGUGCAAACCGUGAGGAAGGUGGGGAUGACGUCAAAUCAUCACGGCCCUUACGUCCUGGGCCACACACGUGCUACAAUGGUAGGUACAGAGAGCAGCCACGUCGCAAGGCGGAGCGAAUCUAUAAAACCUAUCACAGUUCGGAUCGGGGUCUGCAACUCGACCCCGUGAAGCUGGAAUCGCUAGUAAUCG